AGUGGCGGACGGGUGAGUAACGCGUGAGAAUCUGCCUUGGGGUCGGGGACAACCACUGGAAACGGUGGCUAAUACCGGAUAAGCCGAUUGGUGAAAGAUUUAUUGCCCGAAGAGGAGCUCGCGUCUGAUUAGCUAGUUGGUGAGGUAAGAGCUCACCAAGGCAGCGAUCAGUAGCUGGUCUGAGAGGACGAUCAGCCACACUGGGACUGAGACACGGCCCAGACUCCUACGGAAGGCAGCAGUGGGGAAUUUUCCGCAAUGGGCGAAAGCCUGACGGAGCAAGACCGCGUGAGGGAGGAAGGCUCUUGGGUUGUAAACCUCUUUUCUCAGGGAAGAAGCUCUGACGGUACCUGAGGAAUCAGCCUCGGCUAACUCCGUGCCAGCAGCCGCGGUAAUACGGAGGAGGCAAGCGUUAUCCGGAAUUAUUGGGCGUAAAGCGUCCGCAGGUGGCGAUUCAAGUCUGCUGUCAAAGCACGGGGCUUAACUCCGUAAAGGCAGUGGAAACUGAAUAGCUAGAGUGCCGUAGGGGUAGAGGGAAUUCCCGGUGUAGCGGUGAAAUGCGUAGAGAUCGGGAAGAACAUCGGUGGCGAAAGCGCUCUACUGGACGGCAACUGACACUCAGGGACGCAAGCUAGGGGAGCGAAUGGGAUUAGAUACCCC
rnacentral:rRNA from 1 species